GGGACAGACGACCCCGAUCUGGGGCUUUUGAGCUCAUUCGGGGUUCCCCACUUGGGCAGGGCACCCACCCACGAUGGGCUGGCCCCCCUGGGUCAGACCCAGGUCAGCAGGGCCUAGGCCUGGGGCGGCCCGAGGGGUCAGGUGUGGGAGCACCUGCAGGGAUGGAGCCGGGCCUGACGGCGGGGGACUCGAAUCCUGACCCUCUGACGUCUGGCGUCAGCUCUUGCCCUUCUCCAGGCUCCUGCCCCCUUCCGGAUUGGAAGUUCCCAGGCCCGGCCCAGGGCUGCCGGGUUCCCACGCCGGGCGGGAUGGAGUCCCUAGUCUACCUCCUUCCUCCCAACCUCGCUCGUGCCGUGAAGUAGAUGAGUGUGAGCGGAAUUAUCGGGGAGACCCACUGGCUCAGGCCCGCCGGCCCGACUGCCCCCGCCUCGGCCACCUGCCCCCCAGGCUCUCCGUAGACAGACGAUGGUGACAACUCGGGUGCUCACCGGAUUUUAAAUCGCGCCUGGAAACCUAACUCCAAAGGAGUCAGAGAAUGUCAUUUUUAGCUUCCCAGCCUCUUCAGUAUGAGAAAACACAUCAGAAGGAUGUUGAGGGAAAAAAAAUGCCAAUGUCUCUGUCCCCACGUGGAGUUCGAGGAGGCAAGACCGUUCCAGCUCCGUAUCACCUUGCUGUUUGGGCCAAUUAAGUAAACGCAGCUCUUUACCUGCCCAGUGUCUCAAGGCUGUUGUACAGAGCGUUGUAGGGGCAA